GGUUUGAUAAAAGGACUGAGAUUUUCAACCUAUGAUUUACUUUUGGAAAUACAUUCAGGUGUACAAGCAUGAAUUUCCAAUUUUAGCGCUUUUGAGCACACAGUGAGAUUGAGAUAGAGAUGGAGUUAUCAAUGAUUUGAUUUGAUGAGAAUUGUACUCUAAAUAAAAAAAUGAAAUCCCUAUUUAGGCUAUUGAAUGGAAGUGACAUAGGUUAUCAAGAAGAUCACCCACUUGGCAUCUCUGUUGUCCAUUAAUGAUUAUGGGUGUGACCAUCCUCA
rnacentral:misc_RNA from 1 species